rnacentral:rRNA from 1 species
AUCUGCCGGGACCACCCGGUAAGCCUAAAUACUUAGCAUGACCGAUAGUGGAUGAAGUACCGUGAGGGAAUGGUGAAAAGUACCCCGGGAGGGGAGUGAAAGAGUACCUGAAACCGUGUGCUGAUAAUCCGUCAUAGCCCCCCUUAUGGGUGGGGUGGUGGCGUGCCUUUUGAAGAAUGAGCCUGCGAGUCAGUGGCAUGUUGCGUGGUUAACCAUGAGUGUGGGGAGUCGUAGCGAAAGCGAAUCCUAAAUUAGGGUGUGUGUGGCAUGUUCUGGACCCGAAGCGGGGUGAUCUACCCAUGGCCAGUGUGAAGCAGAGGUAAGACUUUGUGGAGGCGCGAACCCACUUAGGUUGAAAACUGAGGGGAUGAGUUGUGGGUAGGGGUGAAAGGCCAAUCAAACUCCGUGAUAGCUGGUUCUCCCCGAAAUGCAUUUAGGUGCAGCGUCGCAUGUGUGCUUGUUGGAGGUAGAGCUACUGGUUGGUUGAGCGGGACGAUAAUCUUAGCAACAUCAGCUAAACUCCGAAUGCCAGCAAUGUGGGUGCGGCAGUGAGACUGCGGGGGAUAAGCUCCGUUGGUCGAGAGGGAAACAGCCCAGAUCGUCGGUUAAGGCCCCUAAGGGUGUGCUCAGUGGGAAAGGAUGUGGGAUCGCGAAGACAGCCAGGAGGUUGGCUUAGAAGCAGCCAUCCUUGAAAGAGUGCGUAAUAGCUCACUGGUCGAGUGGUUCUGCGCCGAUAAUGUAGCGGGGCUUAAGCACACCGCCGAAACCGCGGCAACACGCAUUAGUGUGUUGGGUAGGGGAGCGUCGUGCAUGUGUUGAAGCCAGCUGGUGAUAGUUGGUGGAGUGUGUGCGAGUGAGAAUGCAGGCAUGAGUAACGAGUGAUGUGUGGGAAACAUAUCCGCCGGAUGACUAAGGGUUCCUGGGUGAAGUUUAUCUUCCCAGGGUGAGUCGGGGCCUAAGGCGAGGCCGACAGGCGUAGUCGAUGGAUAACGGGUUGAUAUUCCCGUACCCGUGUGCGUGCGACAAGUGAUGAAUCUUAUGGUACUAACCACCCGCCUGCGUGUUGUUUCUUUUUGAGGAAUAGUGUGUGGGUGCGUGGGAUCUUCGUGGGUAGUAGUCAAGUGAUGGGGUGACGCAGAGUGGUAGCUAGGCUUCCUUAUUGGAUUGGAGUGCAAGCGUGUGGCCUGUGGGGUUGGGAAAUCCGCCCCGCAUAUUAAGGUGAGGCGUGAUGCGGACACCAUAAGUGGUGGUAGUUAGUGUGCCUGUGCUGUCUAGAAAAGCCUCUAGCGAGUGCGUGCAUGGCCCGUACCGGAAACCGACACAGGUGGUCAGGUAGAGAAUACUAAGGCGUUCGGGUGAACUGUGGUUAAGGAACUCGGCAAAAUGCCCCCGUAACUUCGGGAGAAGGGGUGCCUACGAGAGUAGGCCGCAGUGAAUAGGCCCAAGCGACUGUUUAACAAAAACACAAACAAGCUGACAUUACUUCCACUGUUAAUCCAACACAGGCAUGCCUCAAGGAAGGUUAUAAAAAGUAAAA